AUUGAACGCUGGCGGCAUGCCUUACACAUGCAAGUCGUACGGCAGCACGGGUGCUUGCACCUGGUGGCGAGUGGCGAACGGGUGAGUAAUACAUCGGAACGUACCUUAUCGUGGGGGAUAACGCAGCGAAAGCUGUGCUAAUACCGCAUACGCCCUGAGGGGGAAAGCGGGGGAUCGAAAGACCUCGCGCGAUUAGAGCGGCCGAUGCCUGAUUAGCUUGUUGGUGGGGUAAAAGCCCACCAAGGCGACGAUCAGUAGCUGGUCUGAGAGGACGAUCAGCCACACUGGGGCUGAGACACGGCCCAGACUCCUACGGGAGGCAGCAGUGGGGAAUUUUGGACAAUGGGGGCAACCCUGAUCCAGCAAUGCCGCGUGAGUGAAGAAGGCCUUCGGGUUGUAAAGCUCUUUUGUCAGGGAAGAAACACCGGCUCUAACACAGUCCGGGAAUGACGGUACCUGAAGAAUAAGCACCGGCUAACUACGUGCCAGCAGCCGCCGUAA
rnacentral:rRNA from 1 species